AGUGAACGCUGGCGGCGUGCUGAACACAUGCAAGUCGAACGAGAACGGGUUAUAGCUUGCUAUAAUUGUCAGCUAAGUGGCGCACGGGUGAGUAAUGUAUAGGUAAUAUGCCUCUUACUAAGGGAUAACAAAUGGAAACGUUUGCUAAUACCUUAUACUCCUUAUUAACAUAAGUUAAUAAGGGAAAGAUUUAUUGGUAAGAGAUUAGCCUGUAUUGUAUCCGUUAGUUGGUGGGGUAAUGGCUUACCAAGACUAUGACACAUAACUGGUUUGAGAGGAUGAUCAGUCACACUGGAACUGGGACACGGUCCAGACUCCUACGGGAGGCAGCAGUGGGGAAUAUUGCACAAUGGACGAAAGUCGGAUGCAGCAACGCCGCGUGAAGGAUGACACAUUUCGGUGCGUAAACUCCUUUUAUAUGAGAAGAUAAUGACGGUAUUAUAUGAAUAAGCACCAGCUAACUCCGUGCCAGCCGCCGCGGUAA
rnacentral:rRNA from 1 species